UAGGGAAUCUUCGGCAAUGGGGGGAACCCUGACCGAGCAACUCCGCGUGAGUGAAGAAGGUUUUCGGAUCGUAAAGCUCUGUUGUUAAGGAAGAACGAGUGUGAGAAUGGAAAGUUCAUACUGUGACGGUACUUAACCAGAAAGGGACGGCUAACUACGUGCCAGCAGCCGCGGUAAUACGUAGGUCCCGAGCGUUGUCCGGAUUUAUUGGGCGUAAAGCGAGCGCAGGCGGUUAGAUAAGUCUGAAGUUAAAGGCAGUGGCUCAACCAUUGUAGGCUUUGGAAACAGUUUAACUUGAGUGCAGAAGGGGAGGGUGGAAUUCCAUGUGUAGCGGUGAAAUGCGUAGAUAUAUGGAGGAACACCGGUGGCGAAAGCGGCUCUCUGGUCUGUAACUGACGCUGAGGCUCGAAAGCGUGGGGAGCGAACAGG
rnacentral:rRNA from 1 species